AAUAUUGGACAAUGGGGGCAACGCUGAUCCAGCCAUUCCGCGUGUGUGAAGAAGGUCUUCGGAUUGUACAGCACCUUAAGUUGGGAGGAAGGUCUUUAGGCUAAUAUCCUGAAGCUUUGACGUUACCUACAGAAUAAGCACCGGCUAACCCUGUGCCAGCAGCCGCGGUAAUACAUAGGUUGCAAGCGUUAAUCGGAAUUACUGGGCGUAAAGCGCGCGUAGGUGGUUCAGUAAGUUGGGUGUGAAAUCCCCGGGCUUAACCUGGGAACUGCUUUCAUAACUGCUGAGCUAGAGUACGGUAGAGGGUAGUGGAAUUUCCUGUGUAGCGGUGAAAUGCGUAGAUAUAGGAAGGAACACCAGUGGCGAAGGCGACUACCUGGACUGAUACUGACACUGAGGUGCGAAAGCGUGGGGAGCAAAC
rnacentral:rRNA from 1 species